rnacentral:rRNA from 1 species
UACAGAGGGUGCAAGCGUUGUUCGGAAUCACUGGGCGUAAAGGGCGCGUAGGCGGUAUAGUGUGUCUGAUGUGAAAGACCUUGGCUUAACCAGGGAAAUGCAUUGGAAACUGCUGUGCUAGAGUAUGAGAGGGGAUGGUGGAAUUCCCGGUGUAGAGGUGAAAUUCGUAGAUACCGGGAGGAACAUCUGGGGCGAAGGCGGCCAUCUGGCUCAUUACUGACGCUGAGGCGCGAAAGCGUGGGUAGCAAACAGG